rnacentral:rRNA from 1 species
AGUUUGAUCCUGGCUCAGAAUGAACGUUGGCGGCGUGGAUUAGGCAUGCGAGUCGCGCGAUAAUGUAGCAAUACAGGACAGCGGCGAAAGGGAGAGGACAACAUAGGAAUCUGCCCUGGGGUCGGGGAUAGCGUCGGGAAACUGACGGUAAUACCCGAUAAUAUCUUUGGAUCAAAGGAGCAAUUUGCCCCGGGAUGAGCCUAUGCCCCAUUAGCUAGUUGGCGGUGUAAUGGACCACCAAGGCUGUGAUGGGUAGCUGGUGUGAGAGCACGACCAGCCUCACUGGCACUGAGACACUGGCCAGACACCUACGGGUGGCUGCAGUCGAGAAUCUUCGGCAAUGGACGAAAGUCUGACCGAGCGACGCCGCGUGUGGGAUGAAGGUCUUCGGAUUGUAAACCACUGUCGAGGGGGAUUAAGGGAAACUUGAAAGAACCCUGGAGGAAGGGGAGGCUAAGCUCGUGCCAGCAGCCGCGGUAAGACGAGCUCCCCAAACGUUAUUCGGUAUCACUGGGCUUAAAGAGUUCGUAGGCGGCGAAGUAGGUGAGGUGUGAAAGCCCUCGGCUCAACCGAGGAACUGCGCUUCAAACCGCUUUGCUAGAGGGAGAUAGGGGUAAGCGGAACAGAUGGUGGAGCGGUGAAAUGCGUUGAUAUCAUCUGGAACACCGGUGGCGAAAGCGGCUUACUGGGUCUUUUCUGACGCUGAGGAACGAAAGCUAGGGUAGCGAACGGGAUUAGAUACCCCGGUAGUCCUAGCCGUAAACGAUGAGCACUAGUCUGAGGGACUUUCACGGUUUCUCGGACGUAGCGAAAGUGUUAAGUGCUCCGCCUG